AUUGAACGCUGGCGGCAGGCCUAACACAUGCAAGUCGAGCGGUAGAGAGGUGCUUGCACCUCUUGAGAGCGGCGGACGGGUGAGUAAUGCCUAGGAAUCUGCCUGGUAGUGGGGGAUAACGUUCGGAAACGGACGCUAAUACCGCAUACGUCCUACGGGAGAAAGCAGGGGACCUUCGGGCCUUGCGCUAUCAGAUGAGCCUAGGUCGGAUUAGCUAGUAGGUGAGGUAAUGGCUCACCUAGGCGACGAUCCGUAACUGGUCUGAGAGGAUGAUCAGUCACACUGGAACUGAGACACGGUCCAGACUCCUACGGGAGGCAGCAGUGGGGAAUAUUGGACAAUGGGCGAAAGCCUGAUCCAGCCAUGCCGCGUGUGUGAAGAAGGUCUUCGGAUUGUAAAGCACUUUAAGUUGGGAGGAAGGGCAGUAAGCUAAUACCUUGCUGUUUUGACGUUACCGACAGAAUAAGCACCGGCUAACUCUGUGCCAGCAGCCGCCGUAAGAC
rnacentral:rRNA from 1 species